AAUCAACGCUGGCGGCGUGCCUCAGACAUGCAAGUCGAACGAUUAAAGCUCUCUUCGGAGAGUGUAUAGAGUGGCGCACGGGUGAGUAACACGUAAGUAAUCUACCUUCGAGUGGGGAAUAACGUCCGGAAACGGACGCUAAUACCGCAUAAUGCAGCGGCAUCGCAAGAUGACAGUUGUUAAAGACUUAUCGCUUGAAGAGGAGCUUGCGGCAGAUUAGCUAGUUGGUAAGGUAACGGCUUACCAAGGCUACGAUCUGUAUCCGGUCUAAGAGGACGGUCGGACACACUGACACUGAAUAACGGGUCAGACUCCUACGGGAGGCAGCAGUCGGGAAUUUUGGGCAAUGGGCGAAAGCCUGACCCAGCAACGCCGCGUGAAGGAUGAAGUAUUUCGGUAUGUAAACUUCGAAAGAAUAGGAAGAAUUAAUGACGGUACUAUUUAUAAGGUCCGGCUAACUACGUGCCAG
rnacentral:rRNA from 1 species